rnacentral:lncRNA from 1 species
AUGUAUGCAUUGUCAAUACAUAAUAUUUAAACAACCAAAAUAUUGGCUUAUCAGGAUAUACUAAUUUUAAUAUUCUACAUAAGAGAAUGUUUUCUAUGAUUUUAUUUAAAUACAAUUAACACUAUUUUUUGUCAUGAGUAUUACACUGACAAUUCAUGAAAUAUUACUUCAUGACAACAAGUGAGUGUCUUGUCAAGGACCAAAAUUGGUAGAAACAUUAGCAAAGAGCAUAGGGUGCACAAUCUGCUCAACAGACUUUGUUGCCAAUGCUAAGUGAGGUGCACAUUUGAUCCUACAGCAAAGGUAGAUUUCACAGGCAUCAUUCAAGUACUUGAGAACACCUGUUUAGCAUAAGGCAAUGUGAGAUUGUAUUUCAUUUACCAAAGUUAAUUCAAUGUCAUCCAUCAGCCAUUUCUUGAAUAUCUGCUAUGUGUUCUGAAGUCAUUUCCUUUUCGUUUUAUUGAAUCAUCCAUUCUUUUUAUGUUUGUUUCUGCAAUUUAGGAUAACCCUGCUUAUUCCUGUGAACAAAUCAGUGAUCUCUGACUGCUACUCAGAAGAAACAAGAGGGAUGGGCAAUGUAAAAAUCUGGAUCAGUAUUCUAAUUCUGGACACAUUACAAUCAGUUAACAACCACAUAUAAGCUUAGUUCCAACAGUUGCCCAGUUCAUAAAAAGUCUUCUAAUUUAGUUUACUUAGAAUAACUUUACUUAUUUUGCUUUACUUUUGUGGAAUAUAUUGCUGUUUACUCUUUGUGUAGGAAUACAGAAAAAGCUUACUGAAUGUUUUCUUAAACUAAACACUUAUUAAUCUUCCAGAUACCACCUCUUGUUGAAACUCAAGAGUUGCAAAUGGCCCUCGCCAUACUCAUGCUUUCUGAAUGAGCUCCUCUCUACUCUGACUGCAAGAGACCCUCAUAAGUAGGUGGGAAUAUCAUCGCCCCUAUUCAGCCUGAAGAAGCUACAGAAGAUGGAUCUUUAUCCCUCUGCAACCCUUAGGAUUAAGACUCUCUUAUAAAAGAAAGGGGGGAAAUGUCAGAGGUAUGCGAACCAAAGCAACUCCAUCUUCAAUAGGAGCGGAGUAAAAUGAGGCUGAAACCUGGGCUGCACUCCCAGACAGUUAAGGC